rnacentral:antisense_RNA from 1 species
CUUCAGCGAGCCCAGCCACAGCGGCCGGUCGUCCGGCCGGUCCCUGCCGUACGUGGCGAGCAGCGCCUGCGCCUC